rnacentral:rRNA from 1 species
CAAUAGCGUAUAUUAAAGUUGUUGCAGUUAAAAAGCUCGUAGUUGGAUUUCUGGUGGGAGCGAUCGGUCUGGCGCUUAGCGCGAGUACUUGCAUCGUCUCCGGCCAUCCUUGGGGAAAGUCUGUCUGGCAUUAAGUUGUCGGGCAGAGGAUCCUCAUCGUUUACUGUGAAAAAAUUAGAGUGUUCAAAGCAGGCUUAUGCCGUUGAAUAUAUUAGCAUGGAAUAAUAAGAUAGGACUUUGGUACUAUUUUGUUGGUUUGCGCACCAAAGUAAUGAUUAAUAGGGACAGUUGGGGGUAUUCGUAUUCCGUUGUCAGAGGUGAAAUUCUUGGAUUUACGGAAGACGAACUACUGCGAAAGCAUUUACCAAGGAUGUUUUCAUUGA